CCGGCGACCGGCGCACGGGUGAGUAACACGUAUGCAACCUGCCCUCCGCAGGGGGAUAACCCGGAGAAAUCCGGACUAAUACCGCGUGGUACACCAGUGGGGCAUCCCACUGGUGUUAAAAGGAAGUGAUUCCGGCGGAGGAUGGGCAUGCGGCGCAUUAGCUUGUUGGCGGGGUAACGGCCCACCAAGGCGACGAUACAUAGGGGGACUGAGAGGUUAACCCCCCACAUUGGUACUGAGACACGGACCAAACUCCUACGGGAGGCAGCAG
rnacentral:rRNA from 1 species